AUUGAACGCUGGCGGCAUGCCUUACACAUGCAAGUCGAACGGUAACGGGCCUUCGGGUGCCGACGAGUGGCGAACGGGUGAGUAAUACAUCGGAACGUGCCCGAUCGUGGGGGAUAACGAGGCGAAAGCUUUGCUAAUACCGCAUACGAUCUACGGAUGAAAGCAGGGGACCGCAAGGCCUUGCGCGGACGGAGCGGCCGAUGGCAGAUUAGGUAGUUGGUAGGAUAAAAGCUUACCAAGCCGACGAUCUGUAGCUGGUCUGAGAGGAUGAUCAGCCACACUGGGACUGAGACACGGCCCAGACUCCUACGGGAGGCAGCAGUGGGGAAUUUUGGACAAUGGGCGCAAGCCUGAUCCAGCAAUGACGCGUGCAGGAUGAAGGCCUUCGGGUUGUAAACUGCUUUUGUACGGAACGAAAAGCCUUCUUUUAAUACAGGAGGGUCAUGACGGUACCGUAAGAAUAAGCACCGGCUAACUACGU
rnacentral:rRNA from 1 species